UACGUAGGGAGCAAGCGUUGUCCGGAAUCAUUGGGCGUAAAGCGCGCGUAGGUGGUCCCGUAAGUCCGCUGUGAAAGUCAAAGGCUCAACCUUUGAAAGCCGGUGGAUACUGUGGGACUAGAGUACGGAAGAGGCGAGUGGAAUUCCUGGUGUAGCGGUGGAAUGCGCAGAUAUCGGGAAGAACACCUAUGGCGAAGGCAGCUCUCUGGGACGGUACUGACGCUGAGACGCGAAAGCGUGGGGAGCGAACAGG
rnacentral:rRNA from 1 species